UGGGGAAUUUUGGACAAUGGGCGCAAGCCUGAUCCAGCAAUGCCGCGUGCAGGAUGAAGGCCUUCGGGUUGUAAACCACUUUUGUCAGGGAAGAAACGGCUCUUACUAAUAUUAGGAGCUAAUGACGGUACCUGAAGAAUAAGCACCGGCUAACUACGUGCCAGCAGCCGCGGUAAUACGUAGGGUGCAAGCGUUAAUCGGAAUUACUGGGCGUAAAGCGUGCGCAGGCGGUUAUGCAAGACAGAGGUGAAAUCCCCGGGCUCAACCUGGGAACUGCCUUUGUGACUGCAUAGCUAGAGUACGGUAGAGGGGGAUGGAAUUCCGCGUGUAGCAGUGAAAUGCGUAGAUAUGCGGAGGAACACCGAUGGCGAAGGCAAUCCCCUGGACCUGUACUGACGCUCAUGCACGAAAGCGUGGGGAGCAAACA
rnacentral:rRNA from 1 species